rnacentral:rRNA from 1 species
CCUACGGGAGGCAGCAGUGGGGAAUAUUGCACAAUGGGGGAAACCCUGAUGCAGCGACGCCGCGUGAGUGAAGAAGUAUUUCGGUAUGUAAAGCUCUAUCAGCAGGGAAGAAAAAAGACGGUACCUGACUAAGCAGCCCCUGCUAACUACGUGCCAGCAGCCGCGGUAAUUCGUAGGGGGCAAGCAUUAUCCGGAUUUACUGGGUGUAAAGGGAGCGUAGGCGGCGCGGCAAGUCUGAAGUGAAAGGCAGGGGCUUAACCCCUGAACUGCUUUGGAAACUGGCAUGCUAGAGUGCUGGAGAGGUAAGUGGAAUUCCUAGUGUAGCGGUGAAAUGCGUAGAUAUUAGGAAGAACAC